rnacentral:tRNA from 1 species
AAUGUUGUGUCUGAUAAAAAGAAUUAAACUGUAAAUUUAAUAAUAGAAAGUUAAUUUUCUCAACAUUA